rnacentral:rRNA from 1 species
GGCAGCAGUGGGGAAUAUUGGACAAUGGGCGAAAGCCUGAUCCAGCCAUGCCGCGUGUGUGAAGAAGGUCUUCGGAUUGUAAAGCACUUUAAGUUGGGAGGAAGGGCAUUAACCUAAUACGUUAGUGUUUUGACGUUACCGACAGAAUAAGCACCGGCUAACUCUGUGCCAGCAGCCGCG